rnacentral:rRNA from 1 species
AUAGCUUGACACUGAACAUUGAGCCUUGAUGUGUAGGAUAGGUGGGAGGCUUUGAAGUGUGGACGCCAGUCUGCAUGGAGCCGACCUUGAAAUACCACCCUUUAAUGUUUGAUGUUCUAACGUGGACCCGUAAUCCGGGUUGCGGACAGUGUCUGGUGGGUAGUUUGACUGGGGCGGUCUCCUCCUAAAGAGUAACGGAGGAGCACGAAGGUUGGCUAAUCCUGGUCGGACAUCAGGAGGUUAGUGCAAUGGCAUAAGCCAGCUUGACUGCGAGCGUGACGGCGCGAGCAGGUGCGAAAGCAGGUCAUAGUGAUCCGGUGGUUCUGAAUGGAAGGGCCAUCGCUCAACGGAUAAAAGGUACUCCGGGGAUAACAGGCUGAUACCGCCCAAGAGUUCAUAUCGACGGCGGUGUUUGGCACCUCGAUGUCGGCUCAUCACAUCCUGGGGCUGAAGUAGGUCCCAAGGGUAUGGCUGUUCGCCAUUUAAAGUGGUACGCGAGCUGGGUUUAGAACGUCGUGAGACAGUUCGGUCCCUA